rnacentral:pre_miRNA from 1 species
AAAUAUCGCAGUUUUGAGUUUUUAUAUCCAAUACUUAAAUAUCUGUUUUCUUUUAAAAAAUUAUAAUUAGUAUUUUUGUUGUUAUUAAAUGAUAAAACAUGAAUAAUAACUUACGCAUGACUAAUUUUUUAAUUAUUUUAUAUUUUUUAAAUAAGAUAGACGAUCAAAUAUUAGACAUGAAAAUCCACAACUACACUUAGU